GGUAGCGCCACCUGUGUAAUGUGAAACACAACCUGCUGCUGGGACAAUACAAGACAGCAGCUUUAGCAUUUGGAAAACGUUAUCAGGAACUACAGGCACGCUCCUGUUCAGCUGCGUAUCAUGUAAGUACCGGUGCUAUCUUGCGAGUGGUGUCAUCUGUAUAGGACCCUAGGGCGGCUGGAUUACAGCAGGAGCUUGGUACCUGACCCUCAGUACUCCCAGAAGAUUGGAACAUUGGCAAGGAGAUUUAAAUUGUCCAAUUACAUGUUUUGCUUAGAACUCCGAACAACACUGGCAGUAACUGAUUGCAGAUAUAAGUGAACAGGAAAACUAAAAUUACACAAUCAUCGUGACUGGCCUUCAGUGGUGCAUGUUGUGUUGCUAUGGAAAUAAAACAAUAAACAACAACAUGGCAAGUGUG